AUAUUUAAAAUGUGUGAGGUCUAACCACUAAGACUACUUGACAAAAAAUGUGGUUAGUAAGGUCAACCACAAAUUGUUUUAAUCACUAACAAUCCAAAUUAGUGCUCUGCAUUUUUUUUAAUCAGCAAAUAUUAUUAAACGCUAUCCCUGCAAUACGCAAGGUAUGGACGAAACAAGAUAUAAAUGGUGCCGCAUAUAUACGGUACA
rnacentral:lncRNA from 1 species